UUCAGAGUUGUCCAGCGAAGGAACACAGCAUUCUUACUCAGGUAAUCAUUUUAUAUGCAAUAGGUUAACCGCAAUUUUGGCUCACCGCAACCUCCGCCUCUGGGUUCAAGCCAUUCUCCUGCCUCAGCCUCCUGAGUAGCUGGGACUACAGGCAUGCACCACCACACCCGGCUAAAUUUUUUUAUUAUUAUUUCUUUACUUUUAGUAGAGAUGGGGUUUCUCCAUGUUGGUCAGGCUGGUCUCGAACUCCAGACCUCAGGUGAUCUGCCCGCCUCGGCCU
rnacentral:lncRNA from 10 species